rnacentral:misc_RNA from 1 species
CUUCAACAUCAAUGCUGGAAUUGUCAAGGGACUUUGUGAAGCAAUUGCUAAGUACUGCCCCAAUGCACUUGUUAAUAUGAUUAGCAAUCCUGUGAAUUCAACGGUACCUAUUGCCGCAGAGGUUUUCAAGAAGGCAGGAACCUAUGAUGAGAAAAGAUUGUUUGGUGUAACCACCCUUGAUGUGGUUAGGGCCAAGACUUUCUAUGCUGGGAAGGCUAAAGUGCCAGUUGCAGAGGUUAAUGUGCCA